UGCAGAUGUUCACAAUCCAGCUGUACUUAGGGAAAUGGAAUCUUGUUGGGAAGUGAUGGCGAUGGUGGUGAAGGCGGGUAAUACUAUUUUUAAAAACUCCUCGUGAUUCUGACACACAGCCCCAGCCAUAUGUUUUCAGAGGAUGUUAGAGUGAAGAAAACAGGCUGCUGGCUCUGGAAUCACACUGGAUUCAAAUUCUGACUCCAACCCUUUUUAGCUCUUUAAGAUUAACCUCCCUAAACCUCAAGUUUUCUCAUCUGUAAGAUGGGGAGAAUAGCAAUAAUGACCUGUAUAAGACUGUGGGUGGGUCCAGUGAGAUAAUCCACAUAAAGUGCCUAUCACAGGACUUGGCACAGAGUGGAUGCUCAAUAAAUGAUAGUGCUUGCUAACCAGUAAACCUGUGGUUUAUUUCACUGGGAGUACUACUCCCAGAACAAAGCAUCCCAUUCUCUUGCCUCUUUUGGGUGAAGUUGUCAUGUUCUUUUCUCUCAUCUAUCUAACUGCAGUAUGGUCUGAGACCUUUACUUCUCUUGAAUCCUGGGCCAGGAGAAGCUACAUUUGCCACUUUCAAGAACUUUUCCUGACUUUGUCUGGAGAUGGGGUUCGAGGAUGGGUUUUGACUACUGUUGCUUAUCAACUCAGAGAACCUAUUUUCACGGAGAAAACUCAUGAAGAAAAGAAAAAAGAAUCCAUUUCUUCCAUUCUCUUACAGCUUUCCCCCCUUAUGAAAAAUUCAAAAUACUCUGGAAGAAAUUAUGGGAAAC
rnacentral:lncRNA from 1 species